rnacentral:ncRNA from 10 species
UUCCGUAGGUGAACCUGCGGAAGGAUCA